GAGUUUGAUCUUGGCUCAGGAUGAACGCUAGCGGCAGGCCUAAUACAUGCAAGUCGAACGGGAUCCAGAUCAAAGCUUGCUUUGGUUUGGUGAGAGUGGCGCACGGGUGCGUAACGCGUGAGCAACCUACCCUUGUCAGGGGGAUAGCCCGGCGAAAGUCGGAUUAAUACCGCAUGACAUCAUUGAGAGGCAUCUUUCGAUGAUCAAAGAAUUAUCGGACAAGGAUGGGCUCGCGUGACAUUAGCUAGUUGGUAAGGUAACGGCUUACCAAGGCUACGAUGUCUAGGGGCUCUGAGAGGAGAAUCCCCCACACUGGUACUGAGACACGGACCAGACUCCUACGGGAGGCAGCAGUAAGGAAUAUUGGUCAAUGGACGGAAGUCUGAACCAGCCAUGCCGCGUGCAGGAAGACUGCCCUAUGGGUUGUAAACUGCUUUUGUACGGGAACAAACGUCGGUACGCGUACCGGUCUGAGUGUACCGUAAGAAUAAGGAUCGGCUAACUCCGUGCCAGCAGCCGCGGUAAUACGGAGGAUCCGAGCGUUAUCCGGAAUUAUUGGGUUUAAAGGGUGCGUAGGCGGCCGAAUAAGUCAGGGGUGAAAGGCGUCAGCUCAACUGUCGCAGUGCCUUUGAUACUGUUUGGCUUGAAUGUGGUUGAAGAUGGCGGAAUGAGACAAGUAGCGGUGAAAUGCAUAGAUAUGUCUCAGAACCCCGAUUGCGAAGGCAGCUAUCUAAGCCGUUAUUGACGCUGAUGCACGAAAGCGUGGGGAGCAAACAGGAUUAGAUACCCUGGUAGUCCACGCCCUAAACGAUGAUAACUCGAUGUUGGCGAUAUACAGUCAGCGUCUUAGCGAAAGCGUUAAGUUAUCCACCUGGGGAGUACGCCGGCAACGGUGAAACUCAAAAGAAUUGACGG
rnacentral:rRNA from 1 species